UUUCAGUAGGGAGGAAAGGGUGAGUCUUAAUACGGCUCAUCUGUGACGUUACCUACANAANAAGGACCGGNUAACUCCGUGCCAGCAGCCGCGGUAAUACGGAGGGUCCGAGCGUUANUCGGAAUUACUGGGCGUAAAGCGUGCGCAGGCGGUUUGUUAAGCNAGAUGUGAAANCCCUGGGCUCAACCUAGGAAUAGCAUUUCGAACUGGCGAACUANAGUCUUGUANAGGGGGGUAAAAUUCCAGGUGUANCGGUNAAAUGCGNAAAAGAUNUGGAGGAAUACCGGGUGGCGAAGNCGGGCCCCCUGNACAAAAACUGACGCUCAUGCACNAAAGCGUGGGNAGCAAACAGGAUUAAAUACCNUGGUAGUCCACGCCGUAAACGAUGUC
rnacentral:rRNA from 1 species